rnacentral:lncRNA from 1 species
CCCACAAAAAUACAAAAAAAAAUAAUUAACAACCCUUAAUAAAUCUAUAACAAAUUUUAUCUUGUUUUAAUCAUGCUAACUACCUACCCUCACCGACCCUACCCCUACCCCUCACCCUACUCACGUGUCCCACACAUCAACACACAAUAACAACCAUACUCGUAGACACCAUCUUUCUUCCAUAGACGAAAUCGGACACUCAUAGCUCACUGGGAAACAGUCACGGACAUUAAUACACAUCACUCACACUCAAUUUCCAUUUUUGGAGAAAAGAAUACAUACACAGAGACCCGAUUCUCCUUUUCUUCUCUACCAGAUUGACACACUCCAUUGAAGCUCACACGCACAUACAGAGAUCGGAGAGAGAUCAUGAAAUCAGAAAGAGAUCGUAAAAUUGGAGAGAGAGAGAUCGGAGGCAGGGGAGAAGCUGAGACGCGCGCGAGAGAGAGAGGAGAGAAACAACAGUCCCCAUCAUGUUACUAUUUCGAUGACCUUUUCUCCACCGAAAAAUAGCAAAAACUCAUUGGGUAACCCAUUGAAAUUGGCGAGAACUAGCCGGAAUUAGUAAAAUCAGUCCCAAAUCAACUGAAACCGACCUGUUGCGGUCUGAUUCCAGUGAUAUUCGCCGGAAAAUGGCCGGUAUCUGUCGGAAAACAAGUAAAUCAGCAAGUUCAAUUCAUCUCCAUCACCCGUAAUUGAGAAAAACGACGAGGGUACUAACGGGUCAAUAGCAUCGAGGUUCCGAACAUUUAUUUUCUAUAUCGGUCUCAUUAGUGCAAAAUUAUUUUGGGGUUCGCUAUAUUUUGGGUUGGUCAGUCGAGUUGGGAAUUUUCUGUUGGUUCGUUGUUGAGGUUCGAAUCGAGGUUCUUCGGCAUGCGGAUUCGUCUUCUCGAUUGACUGAUAUUUGGAAUAAAAUCAUCAUUGAGGUCCAUUUCUACUCUUUUCCUCAUUUUAUUUCACUGUUGAUGGAAUAUGGUGCAUUGUUUGAAUCUUCGUUGCAUGUUGGUUGAUGUUUUGAUUUGGAUGUGAAAACUUGAUUAGUGGAUUUCGGAUUGAAUUAGUUUAAUUAUGUUGAGGAUGGAUUUGGGACGUAAUUGAGCAUUUGAUAAAAAGUGUGAAUUUAGAUUAAUGUUAGUUUGUUGUUGUUAUUUUGCUUAAUUCGGAAUCAAUAUUAAGUUUAUAAAUUCGAUAGUAUCAUGAUAGGUCGAAUUGGGUAGGCAAAAAUGUUUAGGUUCAGGUAGGAAAAAUUUAGGAGUGAUGUGUUUGUUGAAUGCGUUGAAUGUUUAAAUGUGUGUGUUGAAUGUUUUCUAGUUUAUCGUAUUUAAUUCAAGUGUAUUCAUUUAGCCGGGGAAUGCCCCGAGGUCAUUUGUACUUAUUUACCGGGGAAUGCCCCGACGUAUCAUGUACGCAAAGGAGGCUCGUGAUCAAGUCCCGAGGCAUCGGGUAAACAUCAGAGCGUAGUUUAGGACUAGUGUAGGUUAGCGUAGGUUUAUAUUUUCCUAUUUUAUUUUGGACUGUAUAAUUGGACUGGACACUAAAUUUUGGAUUGUUUUACUUUGUUUUACUUGAUUGAUUGUUUUGCGUGCUCUAUGUGGUUUAUACAUUCGUAGUAUCAAAAUUAGCCGAUACGCUCCACCAAGCAACCGUGGUCGAAACACGAGACAGAGGGGUGUCUAACACAUUCCCCUCGGUCAACAGAAUUCCUUAACCGGAAUCUCUGUUCGCAGAUCAGUUUUUAGAGUCAAACUGUUUUGAAAAGGAUCUUUCAAAGGUGACUUGGCACACCAGAUUACGUCAAGUGGCGACUCUGAAUAAAAAAUGUAAAUAAUCCUUUUUCGAAACUAAUUUUUAAUCUUUUGUCACCUUAAUAAUAAAAACCCUUUCGAACUUAAAAUCACUAUCUUUUGUGGUUAAAAAAGGGGUGUGACAGCUCUGGCGACUCAACUGGGGAUAAUUUCAGAAUUUGAAAUUAUUUUUUUGGAGUUGCAUUGGCUUAGUUUGGCACUAUGGGUGUAUAGACGCUGUUUGUGUUGUUUUAUGUUAUUAUUUUUUUCAUUAUUGAGUGUUUGCGUUCUCUUUGUUUAUAGUUUUUAUCUAUGUGUUACCACUUUAUAUCUGGCAUCAUGUGCAUAACCCGAGUCAUUCUUUCUGCAACAAGUCCGUAGUACACGGUGUGUACACGACCUCUAGUUGAGUCACCCUUAUCUUAGGAGGGGGAGCCGUUGGUUGGUACGGAGUGGGUGGAAAGCUAAAGCAACCACUAUCGACCAUACGCUCCCCCGAACAGCCUUGUUAGUGAACCCCAGCGUAGGUCAGCCUUUAGGUUAUGCUUAUCUGCAUCAUAUUGAGACCUAGCAUGACCCACUUGGUCCUUUGUAGGAAACUCACCUCUAAGACAUCCCUACGUGUUAAAUGUUGCAUGAGGGUAACGAGGUCAUUUGACAGACUGAUUUGGGCAAAAGCAUGAGUUAGAAGCAAAAUGUGUAGGCAAGAAAUUGUUGAAAAUAAGAAAGAAAAAAAGAGUGGAAAAAAAAAUAUUUGGUAGUUUUUAGGGUUCUUUAUGGCUUUUGUUUUUCACAAUUCAAAAUAUUUUUUUACUUUUUGCACUCAUUUCCCCAAAAAUUAAAAACGUUAAAAUUUUUUCCCUUUUAUUUCUUUAGUAAGUAUUCACAAUUCGAAAAAUCCAAAAAAAAAAAAAUUUCCUUUCAAUAGGAGCUUUGUACAUUUUUAUAUAAUGAAAAUAUCAAAAAGAUUUUUUCUUUCAUAGUUGUUGGAGUUAGUUUCUAAUUAAAAACCCAAAAAGAUUUUACUUUCAUUGUCUGUCUAUAAUCGUGUCUUUCUAGUCAAGUGUUAGUUUGUUUUAAUCCUUAAUUGUCCAAUCAGGAUGAACCACACACCCCUGAUUCUCCUCUCUCGGGAGUGAGAUACGUAGGCAGCCUAUUAUUGGUUCGGGAAUCUUAUUUGAAAAAUCUAAAAAGAUUUUCUUCACUCUUUAUUUAGAGUAAGGUUUUCAUAUACAUCUUUAAAAGAAAACUGCAAAAAGAUUUUCCUUUAAUAGGUUCAAGUUUCAUUUUCAUAUGAAAUUCAAAAUUGAAAACCACAAAAAAAAGAAAAAAAAAUUUCUUUGGUAAUCAUAGAUUUCAUUUUGUAUAGGGAUGUUAAAGCUGAAAAUUCAAAAAGAUUUUCAUCAAUUCUUUUGACAAAUUGUUAUUUUCUUUUCUUAAAGUUUCAAGGAAUAGAAAAAGAGUUUAAUUGAUCAUUUUGGCAAGACUUCACGAACUACGCACACCUGAUUCUCCCCUUUUGGGGGUGAGAUACGUAGGCGCCCUUCUUGGGUUCAGUGAUCUUUUCUAAAAGAAAAAAGGUUUUGAAGAAAAAAUGUUGAACUCUAACAUAUUUGUUUCCUCUUGUUCAGUUAGUUUAAAUUGGUUGGUUUGUGGCUUCCUGACUGGUCCUCCAUAUCACACCAAAUCUAAGGAACGGUUAGUUGUGUCUAACAAGGAUAUAGAGAAUGACAUCAUGGAUGAAACAAAGAUUCAGGAAAUUGAGAGUGUAGAAAAUGAUAUGAAAAGUUCCUUAGGACUUGUAGGCUAUGAAGAUGUUUUAUACAAAAGUUGGGCAAUGUUGUCAAGUGUUAACCUUCCUCCAAGCUUUGAGACAUCAAAAUUUGAGGAGUUUGGUGGACAACAUGAUUCUGUGAAACAUUUAGGACAAUAUUGCAAUCAAUCAAGGGAAACUAAAGGAAAGAAGAAGGAAAACACACUUAUUGUCGUGCCAGGACCAAAGCAGAGUUUAAGAGGUCCAACUCACCAAUACUGUCAGCCUCAAUCUCUAGCCUAUCAAAUCCACUUACUCAUCUGCAACAAGGUUCCUCUUUUUAAAAUCCAAGGAGUUUUAUUCCACUUCCUCAAUGUCCUUUGAAUAAUGCACAAUUGUGUACCCAUCCAUCUUCUUAUUAAGAAAUUGAAAGGACAUUGAGGAAGUGGAAUGAAACUCCUUGGAUCCUCUAAAUCUAAGUUUCAUCCGAGGCUAGAGUUCGCAAAGAUGAGGAAGAAAAAGGAUAAUUUCACUCUUAAUGGGGAAUCCUAUGCCAAUUUAUUCCAGAGAUUGAGACAGAGGGGCAUAAUUACUCCUCUCCUUGGGCACACUCCUAAUCGGCGUUUAAGAAAUUUUGAUCCUAAUGUACGAUGUGUGUAUCAUUCUGAUGCUUAGGGUCAUAGUAUUGAAGAUUGUCGAGAUUUGAAAAGAGAAAUUGAAAAGAUGAUUCAAGAUGGAUCAAUUAUAGUGCAGAACAUUGACAGUGAGGGAAGCUCCAAUCAUGUUGAUAGGCAAACCAGUGGUUAAGUUGUCAGGCUGAGCAAUUGAGAAGUCACCCCUCUCCCUAUUAGGAAGAGGUCUGGUAGUUUGUUUUAUUUUCUUUUCUAUUUUCCGAAGUAUUUCAGAGUUGUAGUUCGGGAUUUAUCUUGUUUUGUCCCUUUGUCGUUUAUGUUCGAACCCUCUAUCUUUUAUUUCAAUUAAAUAGAGUGUCUCUUUUUUCCUUUGUGUUCAAAUAUAUGUUGUUUGUUUAUUUUCUUCACAUAGUGCAUUUUAUGUUGAUUCUAGUGAUAUGACAUGUUAGCAGAAUUUUCAAUCAGAUCUUAAAAUCUAGUUUAAGCAUAAACAUGAAAUCAGAGGGUUAAAGUUAGAAAAAGAGAGCAUCUGAGAAAAUAGGUAGAGUACUGAGACAUUUGUUGACAAGUUCAUGCCUUCUUUGAAAAUUAAAGAAAUUAUUUUGAGAAUCACAAGAAUAAAUUGGUUAUCAAUUGAAAAACCUAGCUAAAUUAGGUCAAAUGGCGGAUGUGUGCUCCCGAGGAUCAGAACAAAAAUCAACUCCACGAAAGCAUGAGUCAUUCAAUGUUAGGGAUGUACAACAAAGGUGGAGUUCUAUGUUCGACAAGUAUAGAAAAAGUGGUGACACACAUGCUCAGAGCAAGUUAGUGUUGUAAAACAUGUCAUAAGUGAUGUUGAUCGUGUACUUUCACAUUGCAUGCUAUGUACUAGUAUUUUCAAGGAUUGAUAUGACGAAGACAUUUUAUUCUUCUAUCCAAACAUUGUGUCAUCCUUUCUUUACCCCAUUUGUGCCUUAGUGUUAUUUUCUUUGAUACCUCUCUUUUGGAAUUAAGAUAAAGCCAACAAAGCUCAAAAGAAAAGUAUUGAGCAAGAGAAUAGAGUCAGAAAGUUUCAAAAAAAAAAGAGUAAAAUGUGUCCACGAAGGAAGAAAAGUGCGUCAAGAAAUUAGAGUCAUAAAAAUCACAAAGAAAAAAGAGUUAAAAAAAAAGAACAAGUCAGCAUUAAACAAAAAAACAAUAAGCUGCCAGAACUACACGUGACCUGAUUCUCCUCUCUCGGGGGUGAGAUACGAAGGCUGCCCUACUCUGGGUUCAAUCCAACCAAAUAAACAAUUUAGAGUCACUUGGUCAAAAGAAACUGGGGCAUGAUUUAAUCUUUAUUGUUUGAGUCGAUUCCAAAAUUUGUAAGUCCUACCCCACUUCAAGUAUCGUUUGGGCCCCAUGCCAUCCUUUCUUUCUAACCCUAUCCAAAAGUCAAGUUACAACCAAAGAAAGACCUUCAGAUCAAUCUUUGAGGAUGUUAAGGCUAAGCAUGCAAGGGAUAUGAUGAUACAUUUGAGAACUACUUGUCUUCCUCAGCAUAAAAAAUCAGGACAGAAAUAAAAAUGAGAGAGUCUUAUUGGUAAAAACCUUUAUGGGCAUCGUAAGAUGAUGGUAAGUUGAGAGAGAUAAAAAUGAGAGAGUCUUAUCGAUAAAAACUCUCACGAGCACCGUAAGACGACUGUGAGUUAAGGAAAAUGAAGAUAAGAGAGUCUCAUUUGUGGAAAACCCUUACAGACACCAUAAGACAAUGGUGAGCUGAGGAAAAGAAAAUGAGAGAAGCUUGUUGGCGAAAACCCUUCAAGGCGCCACUAGUCGAAUGGGUUGUUAAUUGCAAUUGACCUAAGGAAGCAACUGAGUUUCAAGUCCAUUAACUCAACAACAAUGGGUAGAAAGUUGGAUGAAAAGAUCAAGCUGCUUAAUACAAAAUGCAUGGCAUAAUCAUUAGUGUUGACUCUCAUUUUUAGAUGAAUUUUUCGUUUCUUUAUUUCAAAAGGGGACAUUCAUUGUCUUUUAUUUCUUCUCUUUAUUUUUAUUUUAUCUUUCUUGAGUCAAUUAUUCAAACAAAAAUUGUCAUUUUUUUUGCGUUUCUUGUCUUUGAGUCAAGUCUCUGUUAAAAUAAGUGAGAAAAGAAUUCAAAACUGACUACCAGCUUCUUUAAUUGUACAAAGCAAGAAAGAAAGACCAGCACAUAAAAGAGACAUAAUUAUGAGCCAAAAUAAAACAUGCAGGAAAUUUUGUCAACAGACAAGUCCUGGAACCCCAUGAAAACACCAAGGUUCAAAGGGUUUAUCUGAGAAGCAUGACAAAGCAGAAAUACUGUGUUUGUAUUAGAGUCACUCUUAAUAAUCUGAGUUCGGAUCAAUAAUGCAGUAAGUCAAUGACAUAUGCUAAUGGUUGAAAGCAAGAUUAAAUGUGACAGGGGCAAGAGCGAUUGCCGCAAAAGCUAAACCCUCAAACCAGCCACCAUGUUUUUAAACUCACAAGUUUUCUUUGAUGAAACAGGAAAUAUGUUACCUUCAAAUCAAGGAUUUCAGAGUCUAAAUAUCAAAGGUUGUAAUGCCUCACUUCCACAAAUACAGGAGACGAGGUUGUUGUACAGGUUUGGUAAUCAAAGCCAUGGUAAAAACUCAUCAUUCAAUAUCUCUAAAAGACACACUUCUUUGUCUAGAUGAUUCAGAUUUCAUUUAUUAGGUGAUUCACUUCCUAAAUUGGACCUCACUCCUAGAAGUCACACUUUCUAGUUAAGUUCUUCCACUUAACCCUUAGGAGACGCACCUCUUUAUCGGAGUAAUCCAAGUUCCAUUUAUUAGGUGAUGCACUUCCUAAAUUGAAUCUUCACUCCUAGAAGUCGCACUUUCUAGUAGAGACUUUCCACUUAACCCUUAGGAGAUGCACCUCCUUAUCUGAGUAAUCCGGGUUUCAUUUAUCAGGUGAUGUACUUCCUAAAUUGAAACUUCACUCCUGAAAGUCGCAUGUUCUAGUCAAGUCAUUCCAGUUGACCCUUAGGAGACACACUUCCUUGUUUGGAUAAUUCAUGCAACAUUUGUGAGGAGAUGCACUUCUUUGUUUGGAUAAUUCAAGCAACAUUUGUAAGGAGACACACUUUCUUGAUUGGGUAAUUCAAGCAAUAUUUGUAAGGAGAUGCACUUCCUUGUUUGGGUAAUUCAAGCAAUAUUUGUGAGGAGAUGCACUUCCUUGCUUGGGCAAUUCAAGCAAUAUUUGUGAGGAGACGCACUUCCUUGUUUGGGUAAUUCAAGCAACAUUUAUGAGGAGACGCACUUCCUUGUUUGGGCAAUUCAAGCAACAUUUGUGAGGAGACGCACUUCCUUGUUUGGGCAAUUAAAGCAACAUUUGUGAGGAGACGCACUUCCUUGUUUGGGAAAUUCAAGUAAGAUUUGUGAGGAGACGUACUUCCUUGUUUGCGUAAUUCAAGCAACAUUUAUGAGGAGACACACUUCCUUGUUUGGGCAAUUCAAGCAACAUUUGUGAGGAGACACACUUCUUUGUUUGAGAAAUUCAAGCAACAUUUGUGAAGAGACGCACUUUCUUAUUUGGGUAAUUCAAGCAACAUUUGUAAGUAGACGCACUUCCUUGUUUGGAUAAUUCAAGCAACAUUUGUAAGGAGACACACUUCCUUGUUUGAGUAAUUUAAGCAACAUUUACAAGGAAGCGCACUUCCCUUUUUGGUUAAUUUAUGAGACAUUUGUAAGGAUAUGCACUUCCUUAUUUGGGUAAUUCAAGCUACAAAUGUAAGGAGACGCACUUCCUUGUUUGGGUAAUUCAAGCAGCAUUUGUAAGGAGACGCACUUCCUUGUUUUGAUAAUUCAAGCGGCAUUGGUAAGGAGACGCACUUCCUAGUUUUGAUAAUUCAAGCAAUAUUGUUUUGAUGGAUGUUCUCAUUAGGAGGAGUUAUACGCGUUGUACUCUUUUUUUCCCUUACGAGGUUUUGUCCCACUGGGUUUUCCUUAUAAGGUUUUUAAUGAGGGAACCGAAAUGCGUAUUAUUAGAGAUGUGUACUCUUUUUCCUUCACUAGAUUUUUUUCCUACUGGGCUUUUUCUAGUAAGGUUUUAACGAGGCACAUUAUCUACCAAUUAGACAUUCAAGGGGGAGUGUUAUAAAUGUAUUUAUAUUAUAGUGAAUGUCUAUCAAGAUCUACUUUGAUAUCUGUUAGGAUUUGAAGCAUCCAUCUUUCACUCAUACUAGGAGUAAAUUUCCCCUAUAAAUAGAGGGGUUUUGCUCAUUGUAUUUACAAUCUUAAGAUCUCUCAUCCCUUAAGAGAAGAAAUAAGAAUCAUUCUCUCUAUUCUCUCUACUCUUCUUCUUUAUUCCUUCUUGUGUUAUAACAGAUUAGAUUUUGUUGUAUUGUUAUGAUAUCUCUAUUAUCGUAUUAUUUUGUUGUAGUUUACAGGUGGUAGAUGAAAGCUGAUCGAGUUUGAGAAGAUUUCUUUUGCUAAGGUUAGGUUUAAUUGUAUUGUUUUGAUAUCUUUACCAUCGUAUUGUUUUGUUAUAGUUUGCAGGUGUUAGAUAAAUUUCGAUUGACUUUGAGAAUUUUUUUUUUUGCUAAAUGUUAGGUUUAAUUAAAUAAUUUUGUUUAUCUUUACAUAUUCAAAAGAUGUUAAAUCUAAUUAUUAUAUUCUUCUUUAUUAUUUAAACAAAUAUCAUAUUUAGUGUAA